rnacentral:rRNA from 1 species
UGGCUCAGAAUGAACGUUGGCGGCGUGGAUUAGGCAUGCAAGUCGUACGGGCCGCAAGGCCAGUGGCGCAAGGGUGAGUAAGGCGACGGCAACCAACCCCAUGGCCGGGUAUAGCCGCGGGAAACCGCGGGUAAUCCCCGGCGACGCAGCCGGCCGGCAUCGGCCGGCUGCCAAAGCUCCGGCGCCGUGGGACGGGCCGUCGUGGUAUUAGGUCGUUGGCGGGGUAACGGCCCACCAAGCCUGCGAUGCCUACCGGGCGUGCGAGCGCGGCCCGGCACACUGGGACUGAGACACUGCCCAGACUCCUACGGGAGGCUGCAGUCGAGAAUCUUCGGCAAUGGGCGCAAGCCUGACCGAGCGACGCCGCGUGGAGGACGAAGGCCCUCGGGUUGUAAACUCCUGUCGAGGGGGAAGAAGGCCCCGCGAGGGGCUUGACUGAUCCCUGGAGGAAGCACGGGCUAAGUUCGUGCCAGCAGCCGCGGUAAGACGAACCGUGCGAACGUUAUUCGGAAUCACUGGGCUUAAAGCGCGUGUAGGCGGGCCGGCACGUCGGUCGCUGAAAUCCCCCGGCUCAACCGGGGAAGGGGCGCCGAUACGACCGGCCUGGAGGGGCGUAGGGGGAUCGGGAACUUCCGGUGGAGCGGUGAAAUGCGUUGAGAUCGGAAGGAAC